rnacentral:piRNA from 1 species
CAAUGCAGGGGUCAUAGUAAACA